rnacentral:rRNA from 1 species
GAUGAACGCUGGCGGCGUGCCUAAUACAUGCAAGUCGAACGAGGUACUUUUGUAGCAAUACGAGAGUAUCCUAGUGGCGAACGGGUGAGUAACGCGUGGAUGACCUGCCCCAAAGUGUGGGAUAACAGUCCGAAAGGAUUGCUAAUACCUCAUGUGGUUAUCGGUUUUAGAAAGCGAUAACUAAAGCAGCAAUGCGCUUUGGGAGGGAUCUGCGUCCCAUCAGCUAGUUGGUGAGGUAACGGCUCACCAAGGCGACGACGGGUAGGGGACCUGAGAGGGUGGCCCCCCACAAUGGAACUGAAACACGGUCCAUACACCUACGGGUGGCAGCAGUAGGGAAUAUUGCUCAAUGGGCGAAAGCCUGAAGCAGCAACGCCGCGUGUGCGAUGAAGGCCUU